AGCAGCCGCGGUAAUUCCAGCUCCAAUAGCGUAUAUUAAAGUUGCUGCAGUUAAAAAGCUCGUAGUUGAAUUUCGGGACCAAUAUGUCGGUCGUGCCUCGGUACGUACUGGCAUCGUUGGUUUCUCCCUUCUGACGAACCAUGAUGUCAUUUAUUUGGUGUCGUGGGGAAUCAGGACUGUUACUUUGAAAAAAUUAGAGUGUUUAAAGCAGGCUCACGCUUGAAUACAUUAGCAUGGAAUAAUGAAAUAGGACGUUUGAUUCUAUUUUGUUGGUUUCUAGGAUCGACGUAAUGAUUAAUAGGGAUAGUUGGGGGCAUUAGUAUUCAAUUGUCAGAGGUGAAAUUCUUGGAUUUAUUGAAGACUAACUACUGCGAAAGCAUUUGCCAAGGAUGUUUUCAUUAAUCAAGAACGAAAGUUAGGGGAUCGAAGACGAUCAGAUACCGUCGUAGUCUUAACCAUAAACUAUGCCGACUAGGGAUCGGAUGAUGUUAAUUUUUUAAUGACU
rnacentral:rRNA from 1 species